rnacentral:rRNA from 1 species
GAUGAACGCUGGCGGCGUGCCUAAUACAUGCAAGUCGAGCGAACAGACGAGGAGCUUGCUCCUUUGACGUUAGCGGCGGACGGGUGAGUAACACGUAGGUAACCUACCUAUAAGACUGGGAUAACUUCGGGAAACCGGAGCUAAUACCGGAUAAUAUUUCGAACCGCAUGGUUCGAUAGUGAAAGAUGGCUUUGCUAUCACUUAUAGAUGGACCUGCGCCGUAUUAGCUAGUUGGUAAGGUAACGGCUUACCAAGGCAACGAUACGUAGCCGACCUGAGAGGGUGAUCGGCCACACUGGAACUGAGACACGGUCCAGACUCCUACGGGAGGCAGCAGUAGGGAAUCUUCCGCAAUGGGCGAAAGCCUGACGGAGCAACGCCGCGUGAGUGAUGAAGGUCUUCGGAUCGUAAAACUCUGUUAUUAGGGAAGAACAAACGUGUAAGUAACUGUGCACGUUUUGACGGUACCUAAUCAGAAAGCCACGGCUAACUACGUG